rnacentral:rRNA from 1 species
AGGACGAACGCUGGCGGCGUGCUUAACACAUGCAAGUCGAGCGGAAAGGCCCUUCGGGGUACUCGAGCGGCGAACGGGUGAGUAACACGUGAGCAACCUGCCCCUGGCUCUGGGAUAGCCUCCGGAAACGGGGAUUAAUACCGGACAUGACUCCUGACCGCAUGGUUGGGGGUGGAAAGUUUUUCGGCCAGGGUGGGCUCGCGGCCUAUCAGCUUGUUGGGGGGUGACGGCCCACCAAGGCGACGACGGGUAG